rnacentral:rRNA from 1 species
AGUGAACGCUGGCGGCAGGCCUAACACAUGCAAGUCGAACGGCAGCACAGUAAGAGCUUGCUCUUAUGGGUGGCGAGUGGCGGACGGGUGAGGAAUACAUCGGAAUCUACUCUUUCGUGGGGGAUAACGUAGGGAAACUUACGCUAAUACCGCAUACGACCUACGGGUGAAAGCGGAGGACCUUCGGGCUUCGCGCGAUUGAAUGAGCCGAUGUCGGAUUAGCUAGUUGGCGGGGUAAAGGCCCACCAAGGCGACGAUCCGUAGCUGGUCUGAGAGGAUGAUCGAGCCACACUAGGAACUGAGACACGGUCCAGACCUCCGUACGGGAGGCAGCAGGUAGGGG